rnacentral:tRNA from 1 species
GCAUGGUUGGUUUAGUGGCAUAAUUACCGCCUGCCAUUUCAGGCCGGGUCGCGGUAGACCCGGGUUCGAUUCCCGGACCAUGCA